AACGUAGGACGCAAGCGUUAUCCGGAGUUACUGGGCGUAAAGCGCGGGCAGGCGGCUCGAAACGUCUGAUGUGAAAUCUCCUCGCUCAACGGGGAGAGGCCAUUGGAAACGGUCGAGCUGGAGGGCAGUAGAGGUAGGCGGAAUUCCGGGUGGAGUGGUGAAAUGCGUAGAGAUCCGGAGGAACACCGACGGCGUAGGCAGCGCCCUGGACGACACCUGACGCUGAGGCACGAAAGCUGGGGGAGCGAACAGG
rnacentral:rRNA from 1 species